GGGGAAUUAGCUCAAGUGGAAGAGCACUCGCUUUGCGUGCGAGGGGUAGUGGGAUCGAUACCCACAUUCUCCA